UAAACCUCUUUCAGUAGGGAAGAAGCGAAAAGUGACGGUACCUGCAGAAGAAGCGCCGGCUAACUACGUGCCAGCAGCCGCGGUAAUACGUAGGGCGCAAGCGUUAUCCGGAAUUAUUGGGCGUAAAGAGCUCGUAGGCGGUUUGUCGCGUCUGCCGUGAAAGUCCGGGGCUCAACUCCGGAUCUGCGGUGGGUACGGGCAGACUAGAGUGAUGUAGGGGAGACUGGAAUUCCUGGUGUAGCGGUGAAAUGCGCAGAUAUCAGGAGGAACACCGAUGGCGAAGGCAGGUCUCUGGGCAUUAACUGACGCUGAGGAGCGAAAGCAUGGGGAGCGAACAGGAUUAGAUACCCUGGUAGUCCAUGCCGUAAACGUUGGGCACUAGGUGUGGGGGACAUUCCACGUUUUCCGCGCCGUAGCUAACGCAUUAAGUGCCCCGCCUGGGGAGUACGGCCGCAAGGCUAAAACUCAAAGGAAUUGACGGGGGCCCGCACAAGCGGCGGAGCAUGCGGAUUAAUUCGAUGCAACGCGAAGAACCUUACCAAGGCUUGACAUGAACCGGUAACGCCUGGAGACAGGUGCCCCGCUUGCGGUCGGUUUACAAGGUGGUGCAAUGGUGUCGUCAAGCUCG
rnacentral:rRNA from 1 species